rnacentral:rRNA from 1 species
UACGUAGGGUGCGAGCGUUGUCCGGAAUUACUGGGCGUAAAGAGCUCGUAGGUGGUUUGUCGCGUUGUUCGUGAAAACCUGAGGCUUAACCUUGGGCGUGCGGGCGAUACGGGCAGACUGGAGGUAUGCAGGGGAGAACGGAAUUCCUGGUGUAGCGGUGAAAUGCGCAGAUAUCAGGAGGAACACCGGUGGCGAAGGCGGUUCUCUGGGCAUGACCUGACGCUGAGGAGCGAAAGUGUGGGGAGCGAACAGG